UUAGGCUUUCUCAGAAUUCUUCUCCUUGCUUCAGCCGCACUUAUCCCACCCUUCUUGACACUGUCCAAGGAACUGUACAAGUCCUCUCCUUCGCCCUGUCGGGGCUGCCUGGUUGUUUUGAACUGCUUCAAAAUGUUUGAUUUGCACACUGAUUUGACUUUGAGGAAGAAUUAGAAGUCAUUUGGUGCCAGGUCCAGUACACAGUGAAAGUUGUUAAUACAGAAAAUUCAGAAAUAUUUUGACUGGAAAUGAUAGAAUUGAUACAUCCAGCACUGAUUUGACCCCCAUGGACUCAGGCUCCUAGUCUUCCCCACUGCCAGAGCAGACCAGGAAGCCCAGGCACCGAGCAGCCAAGGAAUCCGAUCAGCACUCACAGACCCAGCAGUGGCCAGUUUCCCUCCUAAAUGACGCUUCACCAUUUCUUUUUCAAAUGUCCGCGGGAAAUGAAGUUUGUGAUGGUCUGUUUUGUAAGCUGUUCAAUCAGGACUAUGGAGUUAUUAAGUUAAAAACACUUUCAUGAGUGUUUGCUUUGAAGUCUGAAAAUCUACUGGAUUUUGAGAUUUGUGCUGGGAAGACCCAAGGGUCAGCGGUGGAAGCCAGAAAGUCUAUGCCAGCAGGAUGAAGGAGCUGUGCUAGUGGGAUGAGGGUUCUACAGUGGAGCCACCGAGAAGUCACACUCACAACAAAGAGCGGGGCU